rnacentral:rRNA from 1 species
GACGAACGCUGGCGGCGUGCUUAACACAUUCAAGUCGAACGGAAAGGCCCUGCUUUUGUGGGGUGCUCGAGUGGCGAACGGGUGAGUAACACGUGAUUAACCUGCCCUUGACUUUGAGAUAACUUCAGGAAACUGGGGCUAAUACCGGAUAGGAGCUCCUGCUGCAUGGUGGGGGUUGGAUAGUUUCGGCGGUUGGGGAUGGACUCGCGGCUUAUCAGCUUGUUGGUGGGGUAGUGGCUUACCAAGGCUUUGACGGGUAGCCGGCAUGAGAGGGUGACCGGCCACAUUGGGACUGAGAUACGGCCCAGACUCCUAAGGGAGGCAGCAGUGGGGAAUAUUGCACAAUGGGCGGAAGCCUGAUGCAGCAACGCCGCGUGCGGGAUGACGGACUUCGGGUUGUAAACCGCUUUCGCCUGUGACGAAGCGUGAGUGACGGUAAUGGGUAAAGAAGCACCGGCUAACUACGUG